UAAUACAUUACAACUUUCAGCGGUGGAUGUCUAGGUUCCCACAACGAUGAAGAACGCAGCGAAAUGCGAUACGUAAUGCGAAUUGCAAGACCUCGUGAAUCAUUAAGAUUUUGAACGCACAUUGCGCUUUCGGGAUUUUCCCGGUAGCAUGCUUGUCUGAGUGUCUGUGGAU
rnacentral:rRNA from 3 species